rnacentral:tRNA from 1 species
GACCUUGUAGUGAAGUUCAUGGUGAGUUGCAAACUCAUUGAUGUACACUUAGGUGUGCCAGGGUCU